rnacentral:piRNA from 1 species
GCUGUUCAGUUUUUAUUGUGCUUGGUGUA